rnacentral:rRNA from 1 species
AUUGAACGCUAGCGGGAUGCUUUACACAUGCAAGUCGAACGGCAGCGCGGGCUUCGGUCUGGCGGCGAGUGGCGAACGGGUGAGUAAUGUAUCGGAACGUGCCCAGUAGCGGGGGAUAACUACGCGAAAGCGUAGCUAAUACCGCAUACGCCCUACGGGGGAAAGCAGGGGAUCGUAAGACCUUGCACUAUUGGAGCGGCCGAUAUCGGAUUAGCUAGUUGGUGAGGUAACGGCUCACCAAGGCGACGAUCCGUAGCUGGUUUGAGAGGACGACCAGCCACACUGGGACUGAGACACGGCCCAGACUCCUACGGGAGGCAGCAGUGGGGAAUUUUGGACAAUGGGGGCAACCCUGAUCCAGCCAUCCCGCGUGUGCGAUGAAGGCCUUCGGGUUGUAAAGCACUUUUGGCAGGAAAGAAACGUCGCGGGCUAAUACCCCGUGGAACUGACGGUACCUGCAGAAUAAGCACCGGCUAACUACGUG